GGUGAAAUUGUUGGACCGCCGCAAGACGAACAACAGCGAAGGCAUUUGCCAAGAAUGUUUUCCUUGAUCAAGAACGAAAGUUAGAGGUUCGAAGGCGAUCAGAUACCGCCCUAGUUCUAACCAUAAACGAUGCCAACCAGCAAUCCGUCGGAGUUACUCCAAUAGACUCGACGGGCAGCUUCCGGGAAACCAAAGUCUUUGG
rnacentral:rRNA from 1 species